UACAGAGGGUGCGAGCGUUUAAUCGGAAUUACUGGGCGUAAAGCGUGCGCAGGCGGCUAUUUUAAGCUUGCUGUGAAAGCCCCCGGGCUUAACCUGGGAACUGCAGUGAGGACUGGAUGGCUGGAGUGUGGCAGAGGGGGGGUGGAAUUCCACGUGUAGCAGUGAAAUGCGUAGAGAUGUGGAGGAACACCGAUUGCGAAGGCAGCUCACUUAAACUAUAAC
rnacentral:rRNA from 1 species